GAUGAACGCUAGCGGCAGGCUUAACACAUGCAAGUCGAGGGGUAACAGGGAAGCUUGCUUUCCGCUGACGACCGGCGCACGGGUGCGUAACGCGUAUACAAUUUGCCUUAUACAGGGGGAUAGCCUUUAGAAAUGAAGAUUAAUACCCCAUGGUAUUAUAGAGUGGCAUCGCUUUAUAAUUAAAGAUUUAUCGGUAUAAGAUGAGUAUGCGUCCUAUUAGCUAGAUGGUAAGGUAACGGCUUACCAUGGCGACGAUAGGUAGGGGUCCUGAGAGGGAGAUCCCCCACACUGGUACUGAGACACGGACCAGACUCCUACGGGAGGCAGCAGUGAGGAAUAUUGGACAAUGGAGGAAACUCUGAUCCAGCCAUGCCGCGUGCAGGAAGACUG
rnacentral:rRNA from 1 species